UACGUAGGGUGCGAGCGUUAAUCGGAAUUACUGGGCGUAAAGCGUGCGCAGGCGGUUGUGCAAGACCGAUGUGAAAUCCCCGGGCUUAACCUGGGAAUGGCAUUGGUGACUGUACGGCUAGAGUGUGUCAGAGGGGGGUAGAAUUCCACGUGUAGCAGUGAAAUGCGUAGAGAUGCGGAGGAACACCGGUGGCGAAGGCGGUUCUCUGGGCCUUACCUGACGCUGAGGAGCGAAAGCGUGGGGAGCGAACAGG
rnacentral:rRNA from 1 species